AUCCCAGACUCCUACGGGAGGCAGCAGUGAGGAAUAUUGGUCAAUGGGCGAGAGCCUGAACCAGCCAAGUCGCGUGAGGGAGUACUGCCCUAUGGGUUGUAAACCUCUUUUGUCGGGGAGCAAAAGCCGGACGUGUCCGGCUGUGAGAGUACCCGAAGAAAAAGCAUCGGCUAACUCCGUGCCAGCAGCCGCGGUAAUACGGAGGAUGCGAGCGUUAUCCGGAUUUAUUGGGUGUAAAGGGUGCGUAGACGGGGAAAUAAGUUAGUUGUGAAAUCCCUCGGCUCAACUGAGGAACUGCAACUAAAACUGGUUUUCUUGAGUGUUGGAGAGGAAAGCGGAAUUCCUAGUGUAGCGGUGAAAUGCGUAGAUAUUAGGAGGAACACCAGUGGCGAAGGCGGCUUUCUGGACAAUAACUGACGUUGAGGCACGAAAGUGUGGGGAGCAAACAGGAUUAGAUACCCGAGUAC
rnacentral:rRNA from 1 species